GACGAACGCUGGCGGCGUGCUUAACACAUGCAAGUCGAACGGUGAAGGGACCAGCUUGCUGGUUCUGGAUGAGUGGCGAACGGGUGAGUAACACGUGAGUAACCUGCCCCCUUCUUCUGGAUAACCGCAUGAAAGUGUGGCUAAUACGGGAUAUUCUGGGUCUGUCGCAUGGCGGGCCCGGGAAAGAUAUUGCUUCGGUGGGGGAUGGGCUCGCGGCCUAUCAGCUUGUUGGUGGGGUGAUGGCCUACCAAGGCGGUGACGGGUAGCCGGCCUGAGAGGGUGGACGGUCACACUGGGACUGAGACACGGCCCAGACUCCUACGGGAGGCAGCAGUGGGGAAUAUUGCACAAUGGGCGCAAGCCUGAUGCAGCAACGCCGCGUGAGGGAUGGAGGCCUUCGGGUUGUAAACCUCUUUCGCCAGUGAAGCAGGCCUGCUCCUUGUGGGUGGGUUGACGGUAGCUGGAUAAGAAGCGCCGGCUAACUACGUG
rnacentral:rRNA from 1 species